GAUAAUUAUGAAAUCAGUGUUUUUGACCAAGUAUCAAUCUUAGUAAUUUCAACUUAAAAUAGCUUCAUUCAGGAAUGGUGGUAUGUGAAUCCCAGAACAAAACCAUAUUCUUUUAGAUUCCAUGAACCCAGAAGUUUCAAAGGUAGAUUUUUUUUUUUUUUUUCUAGUCAUCAGUGCUGGUGAAAAGCUUUCAGUUGUUAUGGUUUGAGUGUCAAGGGCAGUGUCAUGCAGGUUUCAUCUUAGAAAUGAAGUACACGUAUAAUUCUGUAAGCAACAUGCAGUAGGCAUGCUCCCAGUGUUGAGAAUUGUGCUGUUCUUUUGCUCUGUUCCUCAAAGCCCCUCAGCGUGUGUUGGUAGGCAGUGGAAUCAUAUGCUGUAUCCACACUUUGUGAUUUACGAAGCCUUUCUCCCAUAUUGAAAUGGAAUUCCUCAUACACUUUAUAAGGGGAAAAGGAGAAGGAGAAUGUGGUUUUUAAUUUUGCUUUGCUAUCUUUAUGAUAAACCCGGCAUCUGACUUUUCCCGAAGGAUGUGUGUGAGAAAUCGUGCAAGUUGUACAGAAAGCUUAGCUGAAAGCCGUGUGGCCCACCCAGUGGUGAUGAGUGCAUCCUGUGCAGCCGGUGCUGUGCACUGCUGCUCCAGCAGGAGCAGCCCUUCUCAGACCUCUUGAUCUCAGGACCCCUCCACACUCAAAACAAUUUAAAGAGCACUUUGGUUUAUGUGGAUUACAUCUCUUCAUAUUUGCCGUAUUCGAAAUUAAAACAAAUUUCUUAAAUAUUAAUUCCUUUAAAAACAACAAAAUACAUUUUAUGUUAAAACAAGUAUUUUAGAAAAAAUCUAAAAAUCACAUUUUAGUACGGAGAGACAUCGUUUUACAUUUUUGCAAAUCUCUUUAAUGUGUGGCUUGAUAGAAUUUAGGAUUCUCACAUCUGCUUAUGUACUCACUUUGUCACGAUAUGACAUGUCAUGUAGCCUGGAAAAUUCUGCAUACUUGUGUACUUGUGACAGAAUGAUGCAAAUAACCUCUUAUGAAAGGGUCUCAGGAACCCCUGGGGAGCCUUGGACCACCUCCAAAACCACUUUGUCAGAUUAUGACUUUUGAGCUCAGUUGCUGAGACUAAGCAAAGGUCAGGGCUGAGAUUCCUGAAGGCUAUCUGAGUCUCCAAGGAAUAGGAAAUAAACCUGUUUGCCUAGAAACAGCCUUUCUUAAGACAAUACCAUUGCUGCAGGGGGUAGAGGUUUUGCUUCUUAGGCAUCCUUCCUCCUCUUCCCUUCCUCGCUGAAAUCUUAAAGGAGGCCAAACAAGGCCAAUAUUAAGUGCUUCUAGUGAUUGGGCCAAGUAAUAUACCUGGAAAGGAAAGGAAGGAAACCUAAGGAGGUGUGAGUUUGCUUAAGCCAAGGAGUUUAUCUAUCACUGUUACUUUUCUGCUUCCAAAAUCUGGAAGAAAAGAUAGAUUCAAACCUUUUGAAAAUGUUUGUUCAAACCUACAGAAAAAUCCUGAAAGAGUUGAAAAGUAGGAAGAGUGUACGUACGAGGGAGGAAGGUGGCCUGUUGCUAAGAUGUACGAUUUAAAAUUCUGUGAUGCCUUCCUCCCCUCACAAUAAAAAAAGAAUUUCCUUGAAGGCUCAAACACAUGUUUAAAAAUACUAUGAUCUAUUCCCUAUCUGCCUCCAUGAAUAGACCAAGAGCUUCCGGAAGGCCUAGAGAAUGUUGACACCAUGCCGAGAUGUGGAGGCUGGGAGUGGCCAAGCCCGCUAGCUAAUGACCUGAACAUUGCAGCCCGGGGCCCGCAUGUGAGCUUCAGUAAACUGGCAAGACUUCACACACUGGACCUCCAGAGUUACUCAGUGAGGCCUAUUCCAGUGGGCAGGAAAGCCAAGGAUUGAAGCAGAUCUUACUACUACUCCUGUGGGAGGUGCAGAAAAUUGAAAAUGCUGUUCCCUCAAGGGGUCACCAGGGUCUCAAGGUUUUUCUUUGGAAACUGACCACACUUGCAGGAUCCAUGAGGAAGUGCCAGGAAGCCCCAGCAGUGAGGCAGUAAAUGGAAGGAGACCCUCAUGAAAGGCAGUGAUUUCAUUGGAAAUUACUUGUUUUGUCCUUUAAGAGAAAGCUUACAUUCAACAAUGGGAACUACUCCUGGGAGGCAGCAGAGAUAUAAAGGGGCAAAUUGGAACAUGGUAAGAACUUUCAGUCUCCUUUGUAGAGUGCAUGAAAGAAGGAAGUAGAGGUCACACUCUUAGAGCAAAGCCCAGAUUUAAAAACUAAAGAAUUAAGAUUACUAUCUUCCUGAACACUCUAUAAAUUUUCUCUUAAUACAAUGUAGAGUGAUGCAACAUAAACAACCAGGAAAAGAAUACAUAGUGCCUCAUUUUACAAUAGACAUUCUGGUUUUCCAGCCCUAAUGCUAUUUUUCUAACCAGUUAUUUCGUUAGGGUUUUAGACAAACUGCACAUAGUUCUUCCCAGCAUACCAGGACAAACACCAAGAUGUGCUACUCCCAGCCGGAUUCCCUGAUAAAAACUAAACGUCGGGGAAAUCUGCAACACAAUACUCGGUGGUGUUUGAAAAUGGAGAUUCUUAAGCCCUGCCCCAAGACUGAAUGGUAAGACUCUCCUAGGGUGGAACCUAGGAUCUAAAUUUUUAGCAAGCAUGUCUGCUUUAGCUUUUUCUAAGGUGAAGAUAUUUAUGUCCCAUAUGAAUGCUCACCAAAGAGUGACCUCAGCAGAGGAAGAUUUUAAUGAUCAGUGGAGAUGUGGAAAGCUGACUAGUGUCCCUUGCUUGAGCUUUUCCUAUCCAUGAGUUGAGUAAUAAGACUCAAACUAUCUCUGCUCCUUCCUCUCCCCUUCUUUGUGCAGCAUGAGGGUAUUUAUUAAUGUAUUAGUGACUCAUUCUAACCCUUACCCAUUUACAAUUUUUUGUACCCAAAAAUUCUAAAGGAAAAUAACUCAGGUAUCAUGGCUUAAUUUAAAAUAGCUUUUGGGGAAAACUAGGUAAAAUAUACAGGAGACCUCUCUGCACUAUCUUUGCAAAUUCCUGUGAAUCUAUAAAAAGUUUUAAAACUAGCUAUCAUCUUAAUAAUUUAGGAGUAAUGAGUGUCAAAAUUCUGAGGAGGGAGAACACUGGGGCUUACUAGUUAUUUUGUGUCAAAGCAAGAGAAAAAUCACUGUGAAAAAGAAUCUUCAGCUAAUGUAAAUGGGAAACAAAUGCUCAGAAAAAAAGUUCAGGCGGGUUAGUUGAGACAGGCCCCAGUGUUCUUUCUGGACCAAACCUCCCUCCAAUAAAUAUAUCAAGGAAAGACAAAAAGAAAGCUUUCCCUCUCUUAAUUCUUUUCUCUUAAAGAAGCUACAGUAGGAAAAAAUUACAUGCAACUAACUCAUUUAAAAUAAUAUCUAGAUGUAUUUCAUUUCAAGCAGAUGUUUUCAGAAACUACCUCCCUCCUUAAAUUAGCAACAGGUUCAAUCAUAAAGGAGGGAAAACUGAAGCAAGCUUAUCCUGGUUCACAUUGCAUCUCUGCAAGAUUGGUUAUUAUGGCAGAGUUUAAUCUCAGGACAAAUGAAAUUAGUUUAAUAGCUACAUGCAAUAGAAAAUUUUACAAAAUAAAAUGUAUAUCUAUGCCUCAAAAAAAUUAAAAAUACAAGCCAGCACAUCCACUUCGGGGUAUAUAGCCAAAAUAAUUGAGAAAAAAGGAUCUCAAAGAGAUAUCUGCACACCCAUGUACAUAGUAGCACACCAUAGCCAAAAGGUAGACACAGCCCAAAUGCCUCUUAACAGACGAAUGGAUAAACAAAAUGUGGUACAUACAUACGAUGCAACAUUAUUCAGCCUUCAAAAAGAAAUCCUGUCACAUGCUACAACAUGUAUGAACCUUGAAAACAUUAAGCUAAGUGAAAUAAGUCCAUCACAAAAAGAUAGUGUAUGAUUCCACUUAUAUAAGAUAUCUGAAGUAGUCAAAUUUAUAGAAAGAAAAAGUAGAAUGGUCGCCGGGGACUUGGGGGAGGGAAAAAUCAGGAGUUGUUUAAGGGGUAUAGUUUUAGUUUUGCAAGAUAAAAAGUUCUGGAGAUCUGCUUCACAACAAUGCGAAUGUACUUAACACUGCUGAACUAUAUACACUUAAAAAUGAUUAAAAUGGUAUAUUUUAUGUGUUUUUUACCACAAUUAAAAAUGUUUUUAGGGCUUCCCUAGUGGUGCAGUGGCUAAGAGUCCGCCUGCCAGUGCAGGGGACACGGGUUCGAGCCCUGGUCCAGGAAGAUCCCACAGGCCUCGGGGCAAGUGGGCCGGUGUGCCACAACUGCUGAGCCUGUGCUCUAGAGCCCACGAGCCACAGCUGCUGAGCCCGUGUGCCACAACUGCUGAAGCCCACGUGCCUGGAGCCCGUGCUCUGCAACAAAGAGAAGCCACCGCAAUGAGAAGCCCAUGCACCACAGCGAGGAGUGGCCCCAGCUCGCCACAACUAGAGAAAGCCCACGCACAAGCAAUGAAGACCCAACGUAGCCAAAAAUAAAUAAAUAAAUAUAAUAAAUAAAUAAAUAAAAAUAAAAUGAC